rnacentral:rRNA from 1 species
AUUGAACGCUGGCGGCAUGCCUUACACAUGCAAGUCGAACGGUAACAGGUUAAGCUGACGAGUGGCGAACGGGUGAGUAAUGUAUCGGAACGUGCCCAGUCGUGGGGGAUAACUGCUCGAAAGAGCAGCUAAUACCGCGUACGACCUGAGGGUGAAAGCGGGGGAUCGCAAGACCUCGCGCGAUUGGAGCGGCCGAUAUCAGAUUAGGUAGUUGGUGAGGUAAAGGCUCACCAAGCCGACGAUCUGUAGCUGGUCUGAGAGGACGACCAGCCACACUGGGACUGAGACACGGCCCAGACUCCUACGGGAGGCAGCAGUGGGGAAUUUUGGACAAUGGGCGCAAGCCUGAUCCAGCCAUGCCGCGUGCGGGAAGAAGGCCUUCGGGUUGUAAACCGCUUUUGUCAGGGAAGAAAAGGUUCUGGCUAAUACCUGGGACUCAUGACGGUACCUGAAGAAUAAGCACCAGCUAACUACGUGCCAGCCGCCGCGGUAAAAC